rnacentral:lncRNA from 1 species
GGAACUCCACUGAAGAUUUAGUAAUCUUAUCUCAAUCAUGUUUUUGUGGAACUUGGACGAUUCCCCCGAAGACCUAAAAGUUAAAUGCGAUGGUGUCUGGUGGAUGUUUUCCACUGUAUUAUUCUUAUUAGAUUAUUGUGGGCAUCUAAUGUACUAUUCUUAUAUAACAAGUAUUUGAGUAAUUCUUGGAUGUUAUUUAUAUCAUGUUUGUUUUAG